GCCCACCGCCUCAACCCCGCGGCUGCCGUUCCUUCUCCCUUCCCUCUGCUCCGUGCGGCGUCGGGCCUUGCCACCGCCCCUAUCGCGGGUCUUCCUUCCUCCGCGCGGCCUCCACCGCCACGCCGCUACCCCCUGACCUUUCCAGCCAGCUAUCGCGGCGCCAUCCCCACCCGUUACCGCGCUGAGAACCUCCCGAGCAGCUCGCCUCUAUCCCCAUGAUCUCCAGCGACGUUGCACCCUCUCUCCGCCCGCUCGCCGUCGCCGCUCUCACCCCCUCGCUCUCUGAUGCCGUCGCUUCCCUGACUCACCCCCGCACUCGCCGCCGGAGGGCGACGCGGACUGGGCGGAGGCCGCCGUGAGGGUCACCGAGGAGGUGGGUGCAUUCGCGCGGGAUGUCGCCCUGUGGAACAAGCUCUGGCUCCACUUCCCCCUCCUCCCGACGACGUGGACUCCGACGAUUUUGACAUGACUGAAGCGCAGCAGGACAACGCGCUGGCCGUCGAGAGCUUGGCGUCGGAGCUGGCUGAUCUGCGGAUCGAGCUCUGCCCUAGCCACACGAGCGAGGGCUGCUUCUUGAAGAUACACUUCGUGCUGCUGCAUCCUAUAAGCUCACGAAGGAGGAUGCUGAGAUUCUGUCGACUCCACUGCCGAUGGUAUGGUUGGCGGUGACCUGCUUGCCUUCUCUGCUCAGGGAGAAAAAUAGAGAGAGGCUUGAAGUAAAUGACCUGAUUUGAGGGAGGAGAAGCAGGUGGCAUGUGCCCACUGAUUUGGGAGUACA